AGAGUUUGAUCAUGGCUCAGAAUGAACGCUGCGGCGUGCUUAACACAUGCAAGUCGCACGAGAAAUCCCGGCUUGCCGGGAGAGUAAAGUGGCGCACGGGUGCGUAACGCGUGGAUAAUCUAGCCUCGAAUCCGGGAUAACACUUCGAAAGGGGUGCUAAUACCGGAUAAUAUCAUUUAGUCUUCGGGCUUUAUGAUCAAAGGUAGCCUCUACAUGUAAGCUACUGUUUGAGGAUGAGUUCGCGUACCAUUAGCUUGUUGGUGGGGUAAUGGCCUACCAAGGCUGCGAUGGUUAGCUGGUCUGAGAGGAUGAUCAGCCACACUGGAACUGACACACGGUCCAGACUCCUACGGGAGGCAGCAGUGAGGAAUCUUGCGCAAUGGGGGAAACCCUGACGCAGCAACGCCGCGUGAGUGAUGAAGGUCUUCGGAUCGUAAAGCUCUGUCAAGUGGGAAGAAAUUGUCUUGUGCUAAUAUCGCAGGGCAUUGACGGUACCACUGAAGGAAGCACCGCCU
rnacentral:rRNA from 1 species